rnacentral:rRNA from 1 species
GACGAACGCUGGCGGCGUGCUUAACACAUGCAAGUCGAACGGAAAGGCCCUGCUUUUGUGGGGUGCUCGAGUGGCGAACGGGUGAGUAACACGUGAGUAACCUGCCCUUGACUUUGGGAUAACUUCAGGAAACUGGGGCUAAUACCGGAUAGGAGCUCCUGCUGCAUGGUGGGGGUUGGAAAGUUUCGGCGGGUGGGGAUGGACUCGCGGCUUAUCAGCUUGUUGGUGGGGUAGUGGCUUACCAAGGCUUUGACGGGUAGCCGGCCUGAGAGGGUGACCGGCCACAUUGGGACUGCGAUACGGCCCAGACUCCUACGGGAGGCAGCAGUGGGGAAUAUUGCACAAUGGGCGGAAGCCUGAUGCAGCAACGCCGCGUGCGGGAUGACGGCCUUCUGGUUGUAAACCGCUUUCGCCUGUGACGAAGCGUGAGUGACGGUAAUGGGUAAAGAAGCACCGGCUAACUACGUG